rfam:Lupinus angustifolius cultivar Tanjil contig_34316, whole genome shotgun sequence.
GUGUAGUUUUAGGAGGAACAAGUCCCUCAUAUUCAAUUUAUCCAUCUGAUCACUUUGUCAGCUUUGUUUUUGAAUAUAUUUGCUGAUCAUUUUAGGCGAACGUUU